rnacentral:rRNA from 1 species
AUUGAACGCUGGCGGCAGGCCUAACACAUGCAAGUCGAACGAGUGGCGGACGGGUGAGUAAUGUCUGGGAAACUGCCUGAUGGAGGGGGAUAACUACUGGAAACGGUAGCUAAUACCGCAUACCAUCGGAUGUGCCCAGAUGGGAUUAGCUAGUAGGUGGGGUAACGGCUCACCUAGGCGACGAUCCCUAGCUGGUCUGAGAGGAUGACCAGCCACACUGGAACUGAGACACGGUCCAGACUCCUACGGGAGGCAGCAGUGGGGAAUAUUGCACAAUGGGCGCAAGCCUGAUGCAGCCAUGCCGCGUGUAUGAAGAAGGCCUUCGGGUUGUAAAGGACUUUUGUCAGGGAAGCGGUACCUGAAGAAUAAGCACCGGCUAACUACGUGCCAGCCGCCGCGGUAAUUC